AGAGUUUGAUCAUGGCUCAGAUUGAACGCUGGCGGCAUGCUUUACACAUGCAAGUCGAACGGCAGCGCGGGGCAACCUGGCGGCGAGUGGCGAACGGGUGAGUAAUAUAUCGGAACGUACCCAAGAGUGGGGGAUAACGUAGCGAAAGUUACGCUAAUACCGCAUACGAUCUAAGGAUGAAAGUGGGGGACCGCAAGGCCUCACGCUCCUGGAGCGGCCGAUAUCUGAUUAGCUAGUUGGUGAGGUAAUGGCUCACCAAGGCGACGAUCAGUAGCUGGUCUGAGAGGACGACCAGCCACACUGGAACUGAGACACGGUCCAGACUCCUACGGGAGGCAGCAGUGGGGAAUUUUGGACAAUGGGCGCAAGCCUGAUCCAGCAAUGCCGCGUCAGUGAAGAAGGCCUUCGGGUUGUAAAGCUCUUUUGUCAGGGAAGAAACGGUGGGAGCUAAUAUCUCCCACUAAUGACGGUACCUGAAGAAUAAGCACCGGCUAACUACGUGCCAGCAGCCGCGGUAAUACGUAGGGUGCAAGCGUUAAUCGGAAUUACUGGGCGUAAAGCGUGCGCAGGCGGUUUUGUAAGUCUGUCGUGAAAUCCCCGGGCUUAACCUGGGAAUUGCGAUGGAGACUGCAAGGCUAGAAUCUGGCAGAGGGGGGUAGAAUUCCACGUGUAGCAGUGAAAUGCGUAGAGAUGUGGAGGAACACCGAUGGCGAAGGCAGCCCCCUGGGUCAAGAUUGACGCUCAUGCACGAAAGCGUGGGGAGCAAACAGGAUUAGAUACCCUGGUAGUCCACGCCCUAAACGAUGUCUACUAGUUGUCGGGUCUUAAUUGACUUGGUAACGCAGCUAACGCGUGAAGUAGACCGCCUGGGGAGUACGGUCGCAAGAUUAAAACUCAAAUGAAUUGACGG
rnacentral:rRNA from 1 species